rnacentral:tRNA from 1 species
GCCGGUGUGGCGGAACGGUAGACGCGAUUGACUCAAAAUCAAUUAUCCGAAAGGGUGUGUGGGUUCGAUUCCCUCCACCGGCACCA